CGUGUAUUUUUCAUUUGCUUUCUUUUUCACGAAGGGUGGUGGGUGCGUAUCAGGGGGCAUACAUAAACUGCAGAAAAAAAAAAAGAAAGAAAGAGGAGAACCAGAGAUGGAUGCAGUUUGCGUCGUGCCCUGCUUUAGCUGCCGCACGCGACCCGUGUGUCCGGAAACCGACCUGUGGCCCGACAGAGAGCGACCCCCACGGUACUCUAGCCUUGACCAACAAGAACCCGCCACCUCACCAGUUUCUCCAUUUGGGGUAGUAGGUAUCACACCGUUAGGCUUUAGGUUAGUCUCAAUGCAUGUUUUAUAAGAGUGUCAUGCACAUUAAAUAGGAUGCCACAUAAGUAAAAUUGCCGACUUGGUAGGAUCAUUAAAUGAAAGAGU
rnacentral:lncRNA from 1 species